GUCGAUAUGCCUGAGGGUAGCGAGGCCCUACAGAGGGAUCUGGAUAGGCUGGAAAGCUGGACUGAAGCCAAUGGGAUGAGAUUCAACAAGAUCAAAUGCCAGGUCCUGCACUUCAGCCACAAUAACCCCAGGCAAUGCUACAGGCUUGGGGCAGAGUGGCUGGAAGACUGUGUAGAGGAAAUGGACCUGGAGGUAUUGAUUGAUGCUAGACUGAACAUGAGCCAACAGUGUGCCCAGGUGGCCAAGAAGGCCAGUGGCAUCCUGGCUUGUAUCAGAAAUAGUGUUGCCAGCAGGUACAGGGAAGUAAUUGUCCCCCUGUACUCAGUACUGGUGAGGCCACAUCUCGAGUACUGUGUGCAGUUUUGGGCCCCUCACUGCAAGAAAGACAUCGAGGCCCUCGAGCAUGUCCAGAGAAGGGCAACAAAGCUGAUGAGUGGUCUGGAGCACAGGCCUUAUGAGGAGCGACUGAAGAAGCUGGGAUUGUUCAGUCUGGAGAAGACGAAGCUCAGAGGAGACCUUAUUGCUCUCUCUAACUACCUGAAGGGAGGUUGUAGUGAGCUGGGGGUCGGCCUCUUCUCUUGUGUAACCAGUGAUAGGACUAGAGGGAAUGGCUUCAAGCUGUGUCAGGGAAGGUUCAGGCUGGACGUUAGGAAAUACUACUUCUCUGAAAGGGUGGUCAGGUACUGGAAUGGGCUGCCCAGAGAGGUUGUGGAGUCAUGGACCCUGGAGGUGUUCAAGGAACAUUUGGACACUGUGUUGAGGGACAUUGUUUAGUGAGAACUAUUAGUGAUGGGUGGAUGGUUGGACUGGGUGAUCCUGUGGGUCUUUUCCAACCUUGGUGGUUCUAUGAUUCUAUGAUUAAAAUGUUAACUCCAUGUCUUUGAUGUCACAGAACACAAGGCAUAUUGUCAGACAGAAAAGGAAUAUUAAAUAUAGUAUUUAUCCUAUGUCUUAACUGUUCCAAUAUAUUUUCUUUUAAUAAAUAAAAUUCUACCACAACUUUUCAUAUGCUAUAUCUGUGAGGUGGUAACCAUGACAAUUUGGCUAGCUUUUAUUUUAAUUUAUAAAGAAUAUAUGAGCAUUUGUAGAAAUAUUCAUAAAAUGUGCUCAUACAGUGUCAAUAACACUCAUAGCUUUUAAAUAAAGCUUCAUCAGUGUUCCAUAUUUCCUCAUACUUUAUGCAUUCUCAUUCCUCCCAGUUGUCAGGACUUUUAAAAUUUUAUUCUUGUCAUUUUGAUAUUUUGCCAAAAUUAAGAUCUUCUGAUUUUCUUUUAGGAAUUUUUAAUGCAUUGUUUUAUUUGGCUUAUUUUUUUUUUCAUUACAUUUUUUUUAACUUCUUCAUGCCCCUAUGUUUUUCUGAAAUGUUAAUAGCUUUCAUUUAAAAUGAGCUUUAAG
ensembl:lncRNA